rnacentral:rRNA from 1 species
UACGUGGGGGGCAAGCGUUGUUCGGAAUUAUUGGGCGUAAAGGGCGCGUAGGCGGUGCGGUAAGUCACCUGUGAAACCUCUAGGCUCAACCUAGAGCCUGCAGGCGAAACUGCCGUGCUUGAGGGUGGGAGAGGUGCGUGGAAUUCCCGGUGUAGCGGUGAAAUGCGUAGAUAUCGUAAGGAAGACCAGUGGCGAAGGCGGGUCUCUGGACAGUUCCUGACACUGAGACACGAAGGCCAGGGGAGCAAACGGG